CAUCAUUCGAUCCACGAUCCUGACUCCGAUCGGGGAUCUGGAUCUUUUUUUUUUUUUUUGCCCCAUAAUUUCGAAGGGCGUCCCUUUAAGGUAGGGGAUUCCUUCUCAGUGUCUCUUGGCAUGGUGCAUGCUGGUGUCUGGUUGCGUCUCACACAGGCUAUCUCAUAUACUGUCCGCAAAUACAAGCAAGUUUGCCGGUUGGCACAGGCAGGAUACUAUUCCAUCUCCGUCCAAUGCACAGUACAACGACGCUGCUGUUAUGUAUAUAAGAGAACCAUGCGAGGUUCUUUCUUCUCUUGGCUUGAUCCGUUUCAAUAUAUGCAUACA
rnacentral:sRNA from 2 species